rnacentral:rRNA from 1 species
CGGACGGGUGAGUAAUGCUUGGGAAUCUGGCUUAUGGAGGGGGAUAACUACGGGAAACUGUAGCUAAUACCGCGUAAUAUCUUCGGAUUAAAGGGUGGGACUUUCGGGCCACCUGCCAUAAGAUGAGCCCAAGUGGGAUUAGGUAGUUGGUGGAGUAAAGGCCUACCAAGCCGACGAUCUCUAGCUGGUCUGAGAGGAUGACCAGCCACACUGGAACUGAGACACGGUCCAGACUCCUACGGGAGGCAGCAGUGGGGAAUAUUGCACAAUGGGGGGAACCCUGAUGCAGCCAUGCCGCGUGAAUGAAGAAGGCCUUCGGGUUGUAAAGUUCUUUCGGUGAUGAGGAAGGCAGGUAAGUUAAUAGCUUACUUGAUUGACGUUAGUCACAGAAGAAGCACCGGCUAACUCCGUGCCAGCAGCCGCGGUAAUACGGAGGGUGCGAGCGUUAAUCGGAAUGACUGGGCGUAAAGGGCACGCAGGCGGUGACUUAAGUGAGAUGUGAAAGCCCUGGGCUUAACCUGGGAAUUGCAUUUCAUACUGGGUCGCUAGAGUAUUUUAGGGAGGGGUAGAAUUCCACGUGUAGCGGUGAAAUGCGUAGAGAUGUGGAGGAAUACCGAAGGCGAAGGCAGCCCCUUGGGAAUAUACUGACGCUCAUGUGCGAAAGCGUGGGGAGCAAACAGGAUUAGAUACCCUGGUAGUCCACGCUGUAAACGCUGUCGAUUUGGGGAUUGGGCUUUGAGCUUGGUGCCCGUAGCUAACGUGAUAAAUCGACCGCCUGGGGAGUACGGCCGCAAGGUUAAAACUCAAAUGAAUUGACGGGGGG